UUUCUCUGCGUUAAGAGCAACAAAUGCUAGCUAGUUUUUUAGGUGUCUUACCUAUCCUCACCCCUCCCUUGUGUGCUCUCGCUUUUAUCAUGUGAACCACCUCUUGAAAGGAGCCUGGCCACGUGUCUACACCUGCAGUCAGGUGAGCUGGUUCUUACCUCCGCUUCCAGAGAGGUGGCUUCUGCCCCAUCUGGAAGGCAAGACAGUCUCCUCUGAAUAAAAUGGAGGCUGUAGUAACAUUAACUUCGUAGGCUGGGAAGAGGAUGGCAUGGAGGCAGGCAUGUGGAACUCUGUCCUGCCGGGUUGUUCUCUGUGCUUGUUUAAACACCAGACUUCCACGGCCUGCCUGGUGGCUGGUGAGCUCACCAGACAAGCAGCUAGUAGGGCAGGGAUGGUCUGGUUCACGCCAUGGCUCCAACACACAUGGCGAGAUAAGAAAGGAACUUAAAAAUGCCUGUGACCACGGGCACAGCAACGACUCUCCUGCAAAGGCACCCACAGUGCCAGGAUCCCACAUGGCUGAGGAUUUCUUACCCGGUGACUUUCAAGAUAAAUGGUACUUUUUCCUCCAAGUGCCAAGACUGCUUUUAUUUUAAGCAUUUUGACAGACAGCUUUCUAAAAUGAGCAAUGCUCUUCCCCCCAAAGCAGUAGUGAUGUUAACUUUGCAACACGGUGAGUGUGGGGGGAAAUGAACAGGGGCUGCCUUUUAUUUAAAAUGCCUGGUGAACACCUGCUGGAAUAGUAGAAAGAGUUGGGCGGCUGUGUUCCUUAUGCCCAUUGCUCUCCAGCUCAUGCAUGACUCUGUUCUGGAGACGGGCACUGUCCACCCGCACAGUCCUGGUUUUCCCAUCAAACUGGUGACACAGAGGCCACAGCCAGAUAGGGAGGCUUUGCUCCUCUGUACAUUGUUUUGGUUUCUUUUCUUCCUAGUUUUUAACACCAACAGUUAAAAUUCAGGAAUCUUUACCUAACUCGGACAGUCUUGCAGGCUGCAGUGAGGACAGUCCAGCCCUGUGACGUGCUCCGCACAAGUGCCGCACUGAUUCGUGCUGAGCUGGGACCUCCCCUCUGCCCCCACAGGUGGCCUGAGCACUCCCUGGCCACACAAUGGCCUGCUUUAUGUUACCUACCUGGGCCCUGUAGCCUUUGGAAUUUGGGGCAAAUUUCAAGUGUUCACAAAACCGGGACCCCAAGAUUGUCUAAAUCCUGAGUUCCAGACUUGCUGUCCCCGGAUGCUUGCCUGACAGACCUAUGCUUACCUUCUUGUCCUUUCCUUAGUGGACCUCUGACCCUGACCUUUGCUGGCUGAAAUGGGAUGAGAUGAAUCUUGUUUUGGUCACUGAAUGGCGCUAUCCUAGAUGGGUACAUUUGUUACCGCAGCACUGUCUCUCCUCUCCAGACUACAAAGCUCUCCUUGAAGAGUCAGCUUCCAUCUGGAAAAAUGAGGCACAGCCACACAUGUUUGCACUGUGGCCAAGGAAAGGCUCUACUCAGAACACAGCUCAUGAAGCAGCAGUGCUGGAGUCACCUAAGAAUGUGUUUGUGAGUCAGAGUCUCAGGGUGGGGCCCAGGACUUGAGUUAGCCUCAUCUGUUCCUCUUAGGGAAGCUGAAGCGUAUAAGCGUGCAGAUGGGAAGGGCACAGGCCUCACCUGCAGACUCUGCUAGCAGGAACGAGGAUCUAGUUAAGGAGUCUGUGGGCAAGCCGGCCUCCCUGGUGAUGCUCAGGCAGUGGAGGCAAGGCCCCGCCUCCAAGAAAGGCUGGAGCACUUUCCAGAGGCUGUAGAGAGAAAGGCCCUCAAAGGGGCACACAGUUGAUUCUGAAGCACAAAACAAAACCAGGGCAGUUUGUUUUUCUCACAAAUUCAAACAAAUGGGAUCACUAAAUUUCACAAAGGGCGCACAGAAUGGUGGGGUCUUCAUUAUUUCUUACAGAGGUUGCCAGAUGCCCAAAGGCACACAGCUGGUGAGGGGGUAGUCAAUAUUGGCUCCCAGAGCGUUCUCCACCCAGCUCUGCUAGUUUGCAGAUAAUGGUUCAGGCGGUGCCUUGGACAGCCAUCUGCCCACAUUUCCCAAGUGGUGAGGUCGCAGCCAAGGCACGGGUCAGAACUGCGCUGGUGUACGGUGGGUAUGGUGAGUGUACCCGCUGCCCUGGGGUGAAAUGUGCUCAGUUAACUAGAGAUUGUCCUCUGCGGAUACGCCUGCCCAGAGCUGCUCCGUCUGGGCAUGUGACUCACAGGCAGGGCCUCUACAUAGCCUCUCCAUCACUGCUCACAACCUGGCCAAAUCCAGCCCUCCACUUGCCAAAUGGUGGCAGUCUUUUCUCUCGUGCUGAUGCCAUCUCCAAUUCAGACUAUUUUAUAACCAGUGGACUUGCCGACUCUCCUUUCUCCCCAGCUCCUCCACUGCUGGUUUUCGGAUUCCCAUUAAAUCCCCAAGCACCAGACUCAGCAGGCCUGGAGGCCUGAAGAGGAAGCCUCACAGCCCAUGGGGACUGGGGAUUACUCAUGCGAGAUCAGUAUUUCUCUCCGCUUGGAGAAGGAGUCAUCUGCAUGGCUCUGAAGGCUUGUCACUGUCCCUGUGCUGUGCUAUUGUGGGACAGGACCAGCAGGCUGGCCGUGUCAGAAAGGAGAGGUGGAGUCGGAUCUGGCUACUCCCUCAUGCCUGUGAUCCCUGCUCACACUGAAUACCACACUCUGUGCCCAAGAAGGAUGAGCCCAGCUGCCCUGCCGGGAUUGACCAUGUGAGCCGCUGCAGAUCAGCUCUCAGUCCUCUGAAGUCACUGGAUGAAAAUGAACACUGUUUUGAAAUGAGGGGGUUAAAGAUCAAAACAGUGACUUCCCCUGCAGAGUUUAAAUGUCAGGAAAAUAUGAGCAUGCUUGAAACCUUUCCUGGCUCUUUGUGAUUCUGCCCUUUCAGAGGGUCCCCUUAUUUCUAAGUCCCAUUCUCUGAAUCCCCUCUGCUGGAGGUUUGCUGGCUAUAAAAAGCUGCUUCACCCUAGGAUGAAGUGCAAGGCGCCUCCAGGGGAGUGCGGUAAAUGACAGGCACCUGUUAGCAGCCAUGGACCCACAGCAAGCUGUCCCCGGCCAGCUGCCACUGCCCCACACUUGGGUACAGGGUCUAAUGAGCAAGACAGAAAAGGGCUUGCUGACAGAAUCAACAUUUGCAGACAAAAGGAAAGCCGACUCUCACUUCCAGUGGCUAGAUAUGCUGGCCUUUACCCCAGCAGGUAGGCAAGGGCCCCAAGAGGAGUUGACAGGGGUCCACUUCCAUUCGCCUAGCUCCUGACAUGUCACCAUGAGGAGAGACCUCAGAGGGCUUCUGGCCUUCCUAGCAGGUCCUCCACCACAGUGGCCACUGCUGCUACUGUGGGCAGGAAAAUACAUCUUGUCUGCAGCAACGGAACCCACAUAAUGAGCACCAAGAAAGGCAGUCCUGGGGCUGCACACAGCAGCGCAGGGAGAACCAUACGAGCAGCUGCCACUUCUGUCUCAGAAGUGGGGCCCAGUUAGGGAAGCUACCCCACUGGAAGGUGUUGGGGACUGUUUUCUGCCUGAGACAGCUCCUCUCGUUGAGGGCCCAGGAGCCUGCUUUGCCAUUGUGCUGCCCUUCUGGUGCACCUGAGGUGCCUGUGCUGGACUGGGCUUUUCUGGAUGCUGCUGAUGUCUAACCCCACCCUGGCUGGUCUCCCAGCUGGGUGUAAGACCAGUGAGGGACCAGAGAGAAUGUAUACCAUGUGCUUGAGGAGGCAACACCAAUGACACCUCAAAUUUAAGUGGGUGGGCAGGAAGAAAAUAAAAUUUUCACAAACAGCUGGCAUUUUGAGUCUGAACACUGACUAUCGCCCCAGAGGCUGCCAGGCCUGCAGAACCUGCCAGGGACAAAGUGGCCCAGCUGUACUAUCAAUGCGAGGCCUGGCUGUGGUCCAGCUUGGUCUCCUGUCUGGCCACUGGCCUGGCCUGGGAGGAACACAGAGGAAGCAGCACAGCACAGCCUGGCACGUGCUUCCCAUUCCCUCCACCUGCACCUUCUGUGAGCAGGUAGCGUACAUGUUCUGAUGAAACGCCACACAGCUCCAAGUGAUGUGAAGCUGAAAGCUUCACCGAGAAAGGAUUAAGUGUCAUUCUGUGCUAUGUUAUUUUUCUAAUACCGCUCUUCAUUUGACGGCAAAUAGGUGAUGCUCUGGUAGAAGAGACUUCAUGUCUAUCUGCCCUUAGUUCUGAUGUAAGAGCACUGUCAUCUGUCCCGAUAUUGUGUCCCUCCCCUUUCUUCUCCCCUCCUUGGAUUUGAAUUUAGGGCCUUAAACUUGCUAGGCAGAACUUUACCAUUUGAGUCGUGCUCCCAGCUCUUUUGGAUUUGGUUGUUUUUCAGGUAGGGCCUUGCAUUUUUGCCUGGAGUCAGCCCCUGUCCUAGAUUCUCUCAUCUUGCCUUUUUAUAUAGUUGGGAUCAGAGAUGUGAACCACCACACUCAGCUUGUUUGUUGAGACAGGGUCUUGCUAAGCUUUUGCCUGGCUGGCCUGAACCACAAUCCUCCUGCUCUCUGCCUCCCAAGCAGCUGAGAUUACAGGCAUAUGCCACCAUAUCCAGUUCUUUAACAGAGGUUAAGUUCAUUUUGUUAAAAACAGGGAAAGACAAAGAUGAUAAAGGAAUCUCAGCAAGGGUUUUGUGCAAAUCCAGAGGGCUACCACUCUCUGGUUAAGGUAAAAUCCCCAUCACUUAGAAUUUGUCAAUUUUUACUGCUUCAAACAUGUUACAUAAACUACCCGGAAGGACUUGGCGGGUGCUCUCAACUGUCUCCGAUGAGGCUGAGUUAAUCUCAGCACUGCUCCUGUGUUUGUAGUUUUAGGCAAAUACAAAGAACACCUGGCAGGUUGUUUUCAGAGGAGGAAGGAUAAAAACAUGGCGUUGUCUCUCUAAGUCUCUGCUUCACCAAAUCAAGUCUGCUUCACACAUUUCCCAAGUUCCUGAUAAACUUCAGAGUGCACUCAGAAACACCUAUACUACACAGAACAGGGUUUAACAGGUGCACAAGGACCGGCAUGUGCAAGCCCCUCCCUCAUGAGGGCACUACAGUGGAAACUGGCCACUGUUCAAGACCAGGUUCCUGCAAGGCUCUGGCCUGGGAAGUCUGAGGGUGAUGGAGCCUUUUGAGGAGUGGGGAGCAGGAGCUCACUGUAUAUCACAGAGGACUGAAGAUAAGAAAAUCAGCAACUGCUCUAAUAUUCCUCGCUGUGGCAGCAAACCAGAUGCUAAUAGUGAGCAGGGCUCUUUCUCCUUAGAAUGCCUUUCUGGCUAACAGCUGGGAGACGCAGCAGGGAAAAGGUUAGUGCCUAAGGCCGAGGCGUUCCGUAGGCUCCACGGCCCUGUGAAUGCCCCGGUAGGUUGACUUAGAUGAGAACAUGGAGCCUGCAACUGUCACUCCCGGCCCUAAGGCUGGACAUGGUGACCAUGGCUUCCUUCCUUCUGGCUCUAGACCCAGGGAGGGAGGCUAUUUCCCUGUUAUGUUUCUAGAGAACACAAUAGACUAAAGGGGUGUUCGAAGAGGCAGGAAGAUGAUUUUUUCAGUUAAAUACCUUUUUACUUUGGAAUAGUUGUUGAUUUAUGGAAGAACUGCAAAGAUGGUAUGGACAGGUGCCAUAGGAAUGGCAUUUGCCACUGUGGCCAUCAUGUUUAUCUGCGUCUCUGGGAGACUCACUUGUCUCAUGCUUAAUGUCUCAGCCAUGAAUGCUGACUUGCAUGUUCUCUGUCCUUGUAACUUUUCCUCCUCAGCUUCCCCGUCACUGCAAGGAAACCCACACUGGAUACACAUUCGCUCUAGCGCUCACCUGGAACUCACUUGUUCCAUAGAUUUCCCAUUACCCUUCUCCUGUUUCAGGGUCAGCCAGGGGUAGCACAUUGCAUUAGGUAUGACAAAAAUCAUGAAGCGGUAUGGGGUUUGAACUCAGCUUGCUUGGCAAGCACUCUACCACUUGAGCCACAUACCCAGUCCUUUUCUUGCAUU